AAUAGAUACCCUGGUAGUCCACGCCCUAAACGAUGUCUACUAGUUGUUGGUGGAGUAAAAUCCAUUAGUAACGCAGCUAACGCGUGAAGUAGACCGCCUGGGGAGUACGGUCGCAAGAUUAAAAACUCAAAGGAAUUGACGGGGGGCCCGCACAAGCGGUGGAUUAUGUGGAUUAAUUCAAUGCAACGCGAAAAACCUUACCUGGCCUUGACAUGCCACUAACGAAGCAGAGAUGCAUUAGGUGCCCGAAAGGGAAAGUGGACACAGGUGCUGCAUGGCUGUCGUCAGCUCGUGUCGUGAGAUGUUGGGUUAAGUCCCGCAACGAGCGCAACCCUUGCCAAUAAUUGCCAUCAUUCAGUUGGGCACUUUAAUUGGGACUGCCGGUUGACAAACCGGGAGGAAGGUGGGGAUGACGUCAAGUCCUCAUGGCCCUUAUGGCCAGGGCUUCACACGUAAUACAAUGGUCGGUACAGAGGGUAGCCGAAGCCGCGAGGUGGAGCCAAUCCCAGAAAGCCGAUCGUAGUCCGGAUUGCAGU
rnacentral:rRNA from 1 species